GAACCGGUGGCAGAUGUGUUAUGUUUUAGAUUGUAAAUUUAAUUAAGGUCAGUGACCUCGGUUUA
rnacentral:tRNA from 1 species